UAAAUCAGAUUCCCUCUCCCUAAAAUCCCAAAUUUCUCUUCAGACCUACGGUUGUCUCCCUCUCCUUUCACCAGUGAACUGUUUUAAGGUUUAGUUUAAUUCCUUCGCUUCUGGUAUCUUUGGUAGGUAUUACUUACUCUCUCGUGAAUUAUCCAACUGCAAAGUGCGAGAAUCAGCAAGCAACCCCUAUUUUGCAAAUUGUAAGUUUCCGUGUCUUUUUCUCCCUCUCUUUGGUAUUAUUUGUAGUGUUCUAUUUCUCUAAAUUUCUGCCAAUGAAAUCAAAUAAUUAGAUGUAUCAUAUAUGUAACCUACUAGCUUAAUUUUUGAGAAAUUGAGAUUGAUCAGAGGCAACAGAGUCACAGUGAAACUCUCACGACCUAUUCAGACCUCAAGGCUUCCCUCUCAGUCUCCAAUGCAGUGAAAUUUCAAUAAGUUUUUGGACGACCCUGUCAGUUUUCCCUUCAUUUUUGCUACUUUGAAUUGUAAGUUGUUUAAUACACCUUCGUAAUACGUGUUUAAUACACAAUCAAAUUUAUCUGUUACUACGAGAACUGUCAAGUUUCAACCCUUUUGGUUCUUUGGGUAUUCGUCAAGUAUUGCUGAUUUUGUGGAGUUCAAUUUACUUAUUAUUUCCUGGGUAAGAAUCUUUUUUUUUUUUUUUUUGCUUCUACAGUUUCUUGAAUGUGUGCAUUUACACUUUAUGUUAAUUAUUAUUUCAUUUUUCAUUUUGUUUUUUCUGGUUCAGUUCAUGCUUUUCCUUUGAAUUCGUAGAUGAGGAAUCAAGUUACAUUUUUAAUUCAAGUGCUAGUAAUUAUUGGAAGUUAUAGCAAAAAGCAGUAAGUCAUAUUCUUGUAAUAAUAAUUGCUACUAAUAGAUAAUGUAGGGGAAUCCAAAUAAAUAAAUAAAUGAUUAUAAAAAGAAAGAGAACAUGCUGCUGUUAGGAGGAAUAUAUCCCAAGUUCUUGCCAGUUGCUGCAAAUCAUUUAACCAGUGUAUUAACAGAGAAACAAAAGUUAAAAAAUUAAAAUCGGAUAAGUAAAUUAAAUAGAAAAGAGGUAGUAUUUGGUUACAUAUGAAAGUGAAGUUAGUCAGUUGAAUUAGUUCUUGAUUAAGAUAGUCCAAAACAGAGUGUGGCCCGAGGACGUUUCCUUCAUAAAAUUGUCAAACUGGGUAUUUUGUUUGUACAAACUGAAAAGCUAAAAAUACUACCUUGAACAUUGUGAAGCAGAGUGCAAUUGUAUUUAUCUGUUAUGCUAACCACGCCACCUUAGUUUAUAAUUUCACCCUAAUAUUGGAAGAAGAGAUGGUAAACUUCCUCUCAAGUGGCAUGUUAAUGGUGAAAAUAUGGAACGUGUGAAUAUGAGAUACUAAGAAGUAUAUUUUUAUCACUUUAUUGUUGCUUAAUGUAUCAAAAACUUCUAUCAUACAUUUUGCAACCGAAUUGUUAAAUUUUUGUGCUUUGAUGAAUUUCUUUGUGGUGGUUCCUGAUUUCUUCUAUGGUGAACCUUUGGAUCGCGAGAAACAUGACAUACGAACUUGGCUGAAAGAUCAUGGCAUGGACAAGGGAUAUGAAGAUGCUAAAGCUGUGGUUGAAUCUUUGAAGAGUAAAGGUGUUUCUGCCAUAGCGGCAGCAGGAUUUUGCUGGGGAGGAAUUAUGUUGUUCAAUUCAUAAAAGAGUUAAGGAUACCCUAUGUUGCUGCCAUGUUGGUCUCUCAGUUUGAAGGGCAUUAUGUAUACCUCUCAAAGCAAAAGUUUAGUUGUCAUGUUAUUGUAAAGUUCCUGGAGUGUUAUGAAGGUAGCAGGUCAAGAAUCAUCAAUGAGUUAAUCUCAGAACCUCAUUUUGAUGAGUUGCUGCAAGAUACGUUUGCUAACUAUGUGAUUCAGUCUGCAAUUGACGUUACUAAGAUGCAGAUUCAAUUGCAAUCUAGAAAGUUCGUGGGGAAGCCAGCAGAAAGAUUUUGAAAAAUGUAGUCAUCAUGGAAAAAAAGAUGAUAUUAGAGACCCAAUUGGUAAAGGAAGGUUAUGUUAGGAUUUGAAUCCCAAAUCCGACUUUUGUAAGCAGGUUCUCAGGAAAGAUUGGAGGGUCACAGCUGGACCACUUAAAUACCAACCUCCUUAGACAGAACCUACUUACGCCGUGAUGUAAGCGAAGAAUAAAUAGCACACACAGAUUUAUAGUGGUUCACCCUCAAUGUGAGAGCUACGUCCACGUUGCUGCUGCAGAUCUUAUUAAAGAAGAAAUGUUACAAGCGUUUACAACACUCAACCUCACAACCGCAAUCCCAAUUUCACUUAAGAAUUUUUUUACUAAAAAUUCUCUCAAAAGACUUCUCUUACUUAGGCCUUUCACUAAGAGUAUUUCUCUUAGAUUUUUUUUCUCUCUUUGGGAUAUGUUGUCUUCUUCAAUUUUUGGUGUGUCUAGCAAAUGAGAAAGCUUCCCUAUUUAUAAGGAUGAGAUGAACCUAUUAAUGUCAUUAGUGACUUAAGUAAGCACUUGACAAUUUGUCAAAUACAAA